GAGUUUGAUCAUGGCUCAGAACGAACGCUGGCGGCAGGCUUAACACAGCAAGUCGAACGCACCUUUCGGGGUGAGUGGCAGACGGGUGAGUAACGCGUGGGAACCUACCCAUUGGUACGGAAUAACCCGGGGAAACCCGAGCUAAUACCGUAUACGCCCUUGGCUUAUGCUUUGGGGAAAGAUUCAUCGCCGAUGGAUGGGCCCGCGUCGGAUUAGCUUGUUGGUGUGGUAACGGCGCACCAAGGCGACGAUCCGUAGCUGGUCUGAGAGGAUGAUCAGCCACACUGGGACUGAGACACGGCCCAGACUCCUACGGGAGGCAGCAGUGGGGAAUAUUGGACAAUGGGCGCAAGCCUGAUCCAGCCAUGCCGCGUGAGUGAAGAAGGCCUUAGGGUUGUAAAUCUCUUUCGGCGGGGAAGAUAAUGACGGUACCCGCAGAAGAAGCCCCGGCUAACUCCGUGCCAGCAGCCGCGGUAAUAC
rnacentral:rRNA from 1 species